GAUGAAGAACGCAGCGAAAUGCGAUAAGUAAUGUGAAUUGCAGAAUUCAGUGAAUCAUCGAAUCUUUGAACGCUUCUUGCGCUCCUUGGUAUUCUGAGGAGCAUGCCUGUUUGAGUGUCAUUAAAUUCUCAACUACACUGACUUUGAAUUGGUGUGGCUUGGAUUUGGGGGGAAAAUUGUUGUGGGCUUUUUGUAUAGUCUGCUCCCCUGAAAUUGAUUAGCGGUACCUUUGUGGAACUGUCUACAGGUGUGAUAAUUAUCUACAUCCUAGACAUCUGCUGGAAUGCUGCUUUCUAAACCUUACUUGUAUUGACAAUCUUGACCUCAAAUCAGGUAGGACUACCCGCUGAACUUAAGCAUAUCAAUAAGCGGAGGA
rnacentral:misc_RNA from 1 species